CGCCAGCAGCCGCGGUAAUACGGAGGGUGCGAGCGUUGUCCGGAAUCACUGGGCGUAAAGGGCGCGUAGGCGGUCCGGUAAGCGUGUGGUGAAAGCCCGGGGCUCAACCCCGGGUCGGCCGUGCGAACUGCGGGACUGGAGCACUGUAGAGGCAGGCGGAAUUCCGGGUGUAGCGGUGGAAUGCGUAGAGAUCCGGAAGAACACCGGUGGCGAAGGCGGCCUGCUGGGCAGUAGCUGACGCUGAGGCGCGACAGCGUGGGGAGCAAACAGGAUUAGAUACCCUGGUAGUCCACGCCGUAAACGAUGGGCACUAGGUGCUUGGGGGAGCGACCCUCCGAGUGCCGGCGCUAACGCAUUAAGUGCCCCGCCUGGGGAGUACGGCCGCAAGGCUGAAACUCAAAGGAAUUGACGGGGGCCCGCACAAGG
rnacentral:rRNA from 1 species